AGUGAACGCUGGCGGUAGGCCUAACACAUGCAAGUCGAACGGCAGCACAGUAAGAGCUUGCUCUUACGGGUGGCGAGUGGCGGACGGGUGAGGAAUACAUCGGAAUCUAUUUUUUCGGGGGGGAUAACGUAGGGAAACUUACGUUAAAACCGAAUACGCCCACGGGGGAAAACCGGGGAUUUUCGGGCCUUGCGGGAUUUAAUGGCCCCGUUUGGGUUUGGCAGGUUGGGGGGGGAAAGGCCCCCCAAGGGCCCGGCCCGGGGCUGGGUUAGGGGGUGAUACGCCACACCGGAACCGGGACACGGUCCAGACUCCUUCCGGGGGGAGCAGGGGGGAAUAUUGGGCAAUGGGCGGAAGCCUGAUCCAGCCAUACCGCGUGGGUGAAGAAGGCCUUCGGGUUGUAAAGCCCUUUUGUUGGGAAAGAAAAGCAGCAGGUUAAUACCCCGCUGUUCUGACGGUACCCAAAGAAUAAGCACCGGCUAACUUCGUG
rnacentral:rRNA from 1 species